CCUACGGGGGGCAGCAGUGAGGAAUAUUGGUCAAUGGACGAGAGUCUGAACCAGCCAAGUAGCGUGAAGGAUGACUGCCCUAUGGGUUGUAAACUUCUUUUAUAUGGGAAUAAAAUGUUCCACGUGUGGGAUUUUGUAUGUACCAUAUGAAUAAGGAUCGGCUAACUCCGUGCCAGCAGCCGCGGUAAUACGGAGGAUCCGAGCGUUAUCCGGAUUUAUUGGGUUUAAAGGGAGCGUAGGUGGAUUGUUAAGUCAGUUGUGAAAGUUUGCGGCUCAACCGUAAAAUUGCAGUUGAAACUGGCAGUCUUGAGUACAGUAGAGGUGGGCGGAAUUCGUGGUGUAGCGGUGAAAUGCUUAGAUAUCAUGAAGAACUCCGAUUGCGAAGGCAGUUCACUGGACUGCAACUGACACUGAGGCUCGAAAGUGUGGGUAUCAAACAGGAUUAGAUACCCGGGUAGUC
rnacentral:rRNA from 1 species